rnacentral:rRNA from 1 species
CAGCCGCCGCGGGAAUACGAAGGGUGCAAGCGUUACUCGGAAUUACUGGGCGUAAAGCGUGCGUAGGUGGUGGUUUAAGUCUGUUGUGAAAGCCCUGGGCUCAACCUGGGAAUUGCAGUGGAUACUGGGUCACUAGAGUGUGGUAGAGGAUAGUGGAAUUUCCGGUGUAGCAGUGAAAUGCGUAGAGAUCGGAAGGAACAUCUGUGGCGAAGGCGACUAUCUGGGCCAACACUGACACUGAGGCACGAAAGCGUGGGGAGCAAACAGGAUUAGAUACCCCCGUAGUCCCUGUCUCUUAUAA